rnacentral:rRNA from 1 species
UACGGAGGGUGCAAACGUUGCUCGGAAUCAUUGGGCGUAAAGCGCACGUAGGCGGCUCGUUAAGUCGGAUGUGAAAGCCCCGGGCUCAACUCGGGAAGUGCAUUCGAAACUGGCGAGCUUGAAUAUGGAAGAGGGUCGCGGAAUUCCCGGUGUAGAGGUGAAAUUCGUAGAUAUCGGGAGGAACACCGGUGGCGAAGGCGGUUCUCUGGGCCUGUACUGACGCUGAGGAGCGAAAGCGUGGGGAGCGAACAGG